ACCUGCGGGCGGGCCUUGGCAGGGGAGCCUCAGGGCUCGCCGGUUCGGUGCGCCGGUCUGCUAACCCUGCCCUGUGCCCGCCCACCCGA
rnacentral:antisense_RNA from 2 species